rnacentral:rRNA from 1 species
GACGAACGCUGGCGGCGUGCUUAACACAUGCAAGUCGAACGAAGUCGCGAACGGGUGAGUAACGCGUAAUCAACCUGCCCUUCAGAGGGGGACAACAGUUGGAAACGACUGCUAAUACCGCAUACUAAAGGCGGGGAUUGCGGCUGAUUAGCUGGUUGGAGGGGUAACGGCCCACCAAGGCUAGGAUCAGUAGCCGGUCUGAGAGGAUGAACGGCCACAUUUGGACUGAGACACGGCCCAGACUCCUACGGGGGGCAGCAGUGGGGAAUCUUCCGCAAUGGACGAAAGUCUGACGGAGCAAAGCCGCGUGAGUGAUGACGGCCUUCGGGUUGUAAAGCUCUGUUAAUCGGGACGCGGUACCGGAAUAGAAAGCCACGGCUAACUACGUGCCAGCAGCCGCGGUAAUUC